ACACGGAAGUUAAGCUCCUUCGCGCCGAUGGUACUGCAUGGGCGACUGUGUGGGAGAGUAGGUGCUGCCGGAU
rnacentral:rRNA from 1 species